rnacentral:rRNA from 1 species
AUUGAACGCUGGCGGCAUGCUUUACACAUGCAAGUCGAACGGCAGCGCGGGCUUCGGCCUGGCGGCGAGUGGCGAACGGGUGAGUAAUGCAUCGGAACGUGCCCAGUAGUGGGGGAUAACCCGGCGAAAGCCGGAUUAAUACCGCAUACGACCUGAGGGUGAAAGCGGGGGACCGAAAGGCCUCGCGCUAUUGGAGCGGCCGAUGUCGGAUUAGCCAGUUGGUGGGGUAAAGGCUUACCAAGGCGACGAUCCGUAGCUGGUCUGAGAGGACGACCAGCCACACUGGGACUGAGACACGGCCCAGACUCCUACGGGAGGCAGCAGUGGGGAAUUUUGGACAAUGGGGGCAACCCUGAUCCAGCCAUGCCGCGUGCGGGAAGAAGGCCUUCGGGUUGUAAACCGCUUUUGUUCGGGAAGAAAUCCUCUGGGCUAAUACCCCGGGGGGAUGACGGUACCGGAAGAAUAAGCACCGGCUAACUACGUG